rnacentral:rRNA from 1 species
UACAGAGGGUGCGAGCGUUGUCCGGAAUCACUGGGCGUAAAGGGCGCGUAGGCGGUGACUUAAGCGUGUGGUGAAAGCUCGGGGCUCAACCCCGAGUCGGCCGUGCGAACUGGGUCACUCGAGCGGAUCAGAGGCGGGCGGAAUUCCGGGUGUAGCGGUGGAAUGCGUAGAGAUCCGGAAGAACACCGGUGGCGAAGGCGGCCCGCUGGGAUCCUUGCUGACGCUGAGGCGCGACAGCGUGGGGAGCAAACAGG